rnacentral:rRNA from 1 species
AACGAACGCUGGCGGCAUGCCUAACACAUGCAAGUCGAACGAGACCUUCGGGUCUAGUGGCGCACGGGUGCGUAACGCGUGGGAACCUGCCUUUAGGUUCGGAAUAACUCAGAGAAAUUUGGGCUAAUACCGGAUGAUGUCUUCGGACCAAAGAUUUAUCGCCUUUAGAUGGGCCCGCGUUGGAUUAGCUAGUUGGUGGGGUAAAGGCCUACCAAGGGGACGAUCCAUAGCUGGUCUGAGAGGAGGGUCAGCCACACUUGGACUGAGACACGGCCCAGACUCCUACGGGAGGCAGCAGUGGGUAAUAUUGGACCAUGGGCGAAAGGCUGAUCCAGCAAGGCCGCGUGAGUGAUGAAGGCCUUAGGGUUGUAAAGCGCUUUUACCCGAGAUGAUAAUGACGGUAUCGGGAGAAUAAGCUCCGGCUAACUCCGUG